rnacentral:lncRNA from 1 species
AUGGAAUGGCAGGCAUGCAUGACAAUACCUGGCUCAUACCGAUACUUUGACUGUGUGGGGAUAAAGAUCCAGUCUGGAAAUGGCAUGGCAAGGAACAGCCCCCAAGGCAUAUCCUCUAACAUUCAGUUUUUCUUUAAAACAGACUUAAAUCUUGAGAGAAAUCAUUCCGACUUAGUAGCACUCCAGCCUUCCAAUCAAUGAUGGUUCUGCCAAAGCAAUUAUCUUGUACUUGUUUUUCUAUAUAUGUUCCAAAAAUAAAACCAGUAUUGAAAAUAUUCUUUGAAUUUUUCUCAGUUUUCAUUCUGAAUUUAUUUUAAAUUUUUGCAUGUAUAGCACGGACACACACACCUAUGCACACAGACACAGGGGUCUUUUCUUUGCCUCAGAAGUUAAGAUUUAGUACUUUGGUAAUUGUUGAUGUUACUUAUAAAUUUUGGCCAAACUCCGGUUGCAAGAUUACUGUCAAAUAGAAAACAGGAACUCAGUGAAAAAACAAUGAAAGUGAUCAUUAAUUAUGAUUUUGGUGAAGCAACAGUAUGAAUCCAGGAAGGCAACUGCUCCUGCCUUUAACACCAGGCAGG